GUUCUUCUUAAUACCUAAAUCAAGACCUAAAAGAAGGAGACAAAGAACGAACCCCCAAUACUAAAGAAGGAAAGCUGAUCUCCCCAAAAGAAAAAUGAAAAUAUCCAUCCUUAUUUAGAGAAGAACAGUAGUGUUCCCCCUUAGUGAAUUGAAGUUCUCUUAACUUUUGAGAGACUAGAAGCCGUCCAAACACCUCCUCUCCGCUAAUACCAUCACCACCGGAUUUCAUCACCGGCUGGCCGGCGAGCGUGAUUCCAACAACCAAUGUCCAUCCUCUCCUGUACGCUCCAUUUUACAGAAACCGGAGCUCGGCGAUGAACAAGUUUCACCAAGGUUUUGGUUUAAGCCCAGUUUCACUUCUAUAAAAUUAAUUUAAUUCCAGAUUAUUGUUCCAAAAAUGGAGUUUUUUCGAAGUUGAUUGAGUUUGUCGCCUAUUGGAUGUUUUGGUCGCGCCAUUUGUGGUUCCCGCCGAAGUUUCUGUUAUUGUACUUAUUUUUCGAUCGGAUUUUAAUUGUUGGAAUUCUAUUUUUCAUCGUCGACAUCUCUUGGGUGUACUGGGUAGAGGAUAUUUUCAAUUAGAAGAGCUCAAUUAAAGGUCCAAUUCUAAUUCUUGUUCAUUCGUUAAUUUCCAACUCGUGUGGUUGUCCAUGUUUAACCGAAAUUAUUUGUUUGCACUUUGUGUUUGCUCUUGCGUUCUUAAGAGUUUAUGUUGCUUGGAUUAAGUAAAUGAGUUGUUCAUGUUAUUAAUUGCUUUUUGUGAGAUACUGUAACCAAUAUUUGGUUAGUAUUAAUGUAUCAGUUUAUUUAUUUGUUAGGAAUGGGGUCAUAAUUGUCA
rnacentral:lncRNA from 1 species